UUCAUGUUUGAUCUUAUAAUGCUUAUUUGUCGUAGCACCUUCUAUAUUGCGUAUGCUGCAUCAUACAGUGGGUGAUGAUAUUUUUCAAAAAGGAAUUAAAACGUAUAUGAAAAGAGAAACGGGUAGUUUGGACGAUUUUUGGACUGUAAUGCAAUCUGUCUAUGAUUCACAAACUAUGGAUUUGGAAAAA